GAAGGAACGUUGAAGACGACGACGUUGAUAGGUCGGGUGUGUAAGCGCAGCGAUGCGUUGAGCUAACCGAUACUAAUGAACCGUGAGGCUUAACCUUACAACGCCGAAG
rnacentral:rRNA from 4 species